ACGGGCUCACUUUUCACGCGUUUCUCCAAGCCGCUCGACUAGGGUUAGGAGACUGGCUCCAUGGCGGCGGCCGGCGAGCAGGCGGCCAGCAAGCAGGCGGCGGCCGGCGAGCAGGCGGCGGCCGACGACCAGGCCACGGACCAGCGCGCGCGGGCAGGCAUCGUGCGCGCGGCGAGGCACGAGCUGGCGGGCGCUGAGCGCGCGACCCCAGGCGAGUUUGCUGCAGGGCGUGCGUCCAGCGAGCUGGUGGCCACGGGCUUGCUGGCGACCGCGGGACAGCACGCCGCACCUGGUAUUGGCUUAUCUGAUGCUUCAGUAGCCUUGGACGAAGAGGAACCUGUUGGAAUCGAUUGGAGUUACAAUGACACUCACUGGCUUGGUAUGGAUGAGCAUACUGGUUUAGCUGGGAUAGAUCUUUCUGCACUUCCGUUGGUGGAUUGGGAUUCAUUAGAAAUUCAAGAAGAAAAGGAAGAGGAAGGAAUAAUAGAAAUCUGCAAUGAGCAACAACUUUAUGGGCUGCUGGGGUUAAAGAAAGAUGGUGGUAGUACAACACAAAUGGUUACUGAGUCAUUCUCAAAUUCAAGGGCUGCUACAACAGAUGCUUCUGGAAUGCUUAAUAUGCAGAUUACCCAAGCAGUAGCUAUAGAUGUGACUGAUCAUAUUUCAGAGGAGAGAACAAUUGCAUAUGACGAGGAUAGCCCAUGUAUGAAGUUAGGCACCCCGUAUCCUUCUAUGGAAAAAUUCAGAUUGGCUAUGAGACAAUAUGGAAUAAAUAAAGAGUUUGAAUUGGGUAUUGAGGCAACUUGUCCAAACAGGUAUAGAGGGUUUUGUAAGUCUGAUGGUUGCCCUUGGACAAUUGUUGGUCACAAACAAGCAGACAACAUCACUGUCAUGGUUACAGUGUUGAACGAUGUCCAUACAUGCACAUCUAGCAGCAGGAGAAAGACCACUACACCAACCUGCAAGUGGGUAGCUUCAAAAGCUGUCGUCAUUCUUAGAGAGAAUCCUCAGAUGCGUUGUGUAGAACUGCAAAAAAAGUUAGAAAAAGAUUACAAGUGCAAAAUUGGCUAUGACACAGUUUGGAGAGGUAGAGAAAAGGCAUUGGAUUUGUUGUGUGGCUCGUGGAAGGCAGAAAUUUUAAAAAGGUCACCUGAUAGUGUUGUUGAGAUUGACUGUAAGGUGGUUAGUGGUAGGGUAUAUUUUCACCGAUUUUUUUGUGCACUUGGUCCUUGUAUUGAGGGGUUCAAAUCUGGUUGUAGACCGUGGCUUGGUAUUGACUCUACCGCCCUAAAUGGUCGCUGGAAUGGUCAUCUAGCUGCAGCAACGGGCGUGGAUGGUCAUAACUAGAUGUUUUCACUUGCAUUUGGAUUCAUUGACUCUGAAACGACAGAGAAUUGGGUUUGGUUUAUGACUCAACUGAAAAAGGCUUUAGGAGAAUGUCCUUUACUUGCUAUUUGCACAGAUGCUUGUAAAGGUCUUGAGAUUGCUGUUGGGCAAGUGUUUCCACAAGCUGAACAAAGGGAAUGUUUUAGACAUCUAAUGCAGAAUUUUAUAAAGAGAUAUAGUGGUGAAAGUGGUGGACAUAUGUGGCCUGCUGCAAGAGCAUAUGACAAAGAAGCUUAUGAGAAACAUUUGGAUAUUAUUUAUAGGGGUAUUCCUGAUGCUAAGUUGUGGUUGAAGAAGCAUCAUAAGUUAAAGUGGAUGAGAUCAGAUUUCAAUCCCAACAUUAAGUGUGAUUAUGUCACAAAUAAUGUAGCUGAAGUUUUUAACAAUUGGAUCAAAGAUAUAAAGGACUUACCCGUGGCGGACCUUGCUGAUAAGAUUCGAGAGAUGAUUGGUCUUCUUAUGUACCGGAGGAGAGAAAUUGGAGAAAAACUCGAUGGAAAGAUACUACCGGCUGUCCUAGCAAUAUUGAGAGCCAAAACUAGAGGACUAGGACACUUAUCUGUUGUUAAAUACGACCACUUUACUGCUGAGGUAUGGGAUAAUUGUAACCAUCGGUUUGUGGUGAAGGCACAAUUGCAUGAGUGUUCAUGUCUUGAGUGGCAGCACACUGGUAAGCCAUGUCAACAUGCUUUGGCCUUGAUAACAGCUCAAAAGGCUAGAGAUGUCAAAAUGGAAGACUUUGUACAUGAAUAUUACUCUGUGCAGAAGUUUAGAAAUGCAUAUGCAAGAAUGAUUGAGCCAAUUCCUCACAAGGACAAGUGGCCUAAAUUAGACUUGCCAAUUGAGAUUGCUGCACCACUUAGUAAAAGGAGUGUUGGGAGGCAAAAGAAAAAUAGGAUAAAAGGUUGUCUCGAAGGUGGAAGUGGUGGAUCAAAAUCUGGUCCAAAUAUAUCUGAGAAUGAGAAUGAGAAGACUAAAAAAAUGAUUAGAGGCAAAGCACGAUGUUCUGGUUGUGGAGAGUUUGGACAUAGGAAAUCUAGCUACAAAUGUUCGCUCAAUGGAACUAAGAAAAGGUAACUUUUUCAUUAUUUUCUUAAGCUUGUUUAUUUUUAUUAAGUAUUUCUACCAAUGCAGGAAGAGAAAGAUAAGAAAAAACACAACCAAAGGAUGGACACCUAAAGAUUUGUUACCAGGUAGUCCUGUUCCAACAAGGGAGCAAAUCAUGCAAGAGAGUCCUGGAAUUGUGACAAGAGGACGUCUUGCUUUGUUGAUGGAAGAAGGAGCAUCUCAGGAUAUUUCUCCUCCAACUGUACAACCUAGUACACUCACGAAGAAGAUGACUCCAAAAAGAGCAAAAAGAAGCUUAGAUAUCUGACAUGUUAGAAGUGAAACUAGUGUUGGUUCUUGACGUGUGAGGUUAUUUUGUAACUAUGAUGUGCACUAAAGUGCAUUUAUUUUGCAACUCUGAUGUGCACUCAUGCAACUUGGAUGUGCCCUUAUUUUGUAAUUAUAAUGCCCAAUACACUCAUAUGGAUGCUAAUUAUACUUAUGAUCAAUGGAUGAAUGCUAUGUAGUUGCCCAAAUUCUA